UCGCCCUCCACGCAGUCGAGUCAAGUGCAUCUUCAUCAUCGCCCAGAAGGAACGGUUCUCCACCCUGCCAGGCACCUUGGCACAGCCCAUCCCUGGACGCUUUUCUGCAACCCCUGCUGACACCUCCCCUCCCCUCCCCUGUUCCUCGGUGUCUUCAUCAGUCAGCCCCUCGCCUACUUGCAUUAGCCUCAUGUCCCCCAACAGCUGGAGGACCGCCCCACCUAGUGUUUUAUGACACCCAAGGAUCUCCACCCUCCACACCCUCCACCCUUCUCUCUUGCUCAUUGCAGUCGUAGGAGCCUCAUGGAGAAGACCUCUGAUGUCCCUCAACCUUUGCCACACUGCAACUUA